GACGAACGCUGGCGGCGUGCUUAACACAUGCAAGUCGAACGGAAAGGCCCUGCUUUUGUGGGGUGCUCGAGUGGCGAACGGGUGAGUAACACGUGAGUAACCUGCCCUUGACUUUGGGAUAACUUCAGGAAACUGGGGCUAAUACCGGAUAGGAGCUCCUGCUGCAUGGUGUGGGUUGGAAAGAUUCGGCGGUUGUGGAUGGAUUCGCGGCUUAUCAGCUUGUUUGUGGGGUAGGUGCUUACCAAGGCUUUGACGGGUAGCCGACCUGGGAGGGUUGCCGGCCACCUUGGGCCUGCGAUACGCACCAGACUCCUACGGGACGCAGCAGUGGAGAAUAUUGCACAAUGGGCCGAAGCCAGAUGCAGCAACGCCGCGUGCGGGAUGACGGCCUUCGAGUUGUAAACCGAUUUCGACUGUGACGAAGCGUUAGUGACGGUAAUGGGUAAAGAAGCCCCGGCUAACUACGUG
rnacentral:rRNA from 1 species